GACGAACGCUGGCGGCGUGCUUAACACAUGCAAGUCGAACGGAAAGGCCCUGCUUUUGUGGGGUGUUCGAGUGGCGAACGGGUGAGUAACACGUGAGUAACCUGCCCUCGACUUUGGGAUAACUUCAGGAAACUGAGGCUAAUACCGGAUAGUAGCUCCUGCUGCAUGGUGGGGGUUGGAAAGUUUCGGCGGUUGGGGAUGGACUCGCGGCUUAUCAGCUCGUUGGUGGGGUAGUGGCUUACCAAGGCUUUGACGGGUAGCCGGCCUGAGAGGGUGACCGGCCACAUUGGGACUGAGAUACGGCACAGACUGCUACGGGAGGCAGCAGUGGGGAAUAUUGCACAAUGGGCGGAAGCCUGAUGCAGCAACGCCGCGUGCGGGAUGACGGCCUUCGGGUUGUAAACCGCUUUCGCCUGUGACGAAGCGUGAGUGACGGUAAUGGGUAAAGAAGCACCGGCUAACUACGUG
rnacentral:rRNA from 1 species